AUCCAACUGACAAGUCACAAAUAGGACGAAAUGUACGUCCUAGAU
rfam:Schistosoma haematobium scaffold774_1, whole genome shotgun sequence.